AUUGGGAAAGUGGGCAGUAGGGUGCGCUCAAGUGUCCUUUGCAAGGGACAUCAAGAACUUCCAAAUGUUUUUUGACUAGUUUUUGAGAUACGGACAGUUUUGUCCAGGAGGGUCUAGUGAAAAUUGGGUCCAAGGACCUCAAAGUUUCUUCCUAUCUUCCAAGGAAACUGGUGAAACUAGAGAUUGGGAAAGUGGACAGUAGGGUGCGCUCAAGUGUCCUUUGCAAGGGACAUCAAGAACUUCCAAAUGUUUUUUGACUAGUUUUUGAGAUACGGACAGUUUUGUCCAGGAGGGUCUAGUGAAAAUUGGGUCCAAGGACCUUAAAGUUUCUUCCUAUUUUCCAAGGAAACUGGUGAAACUAGAGAUUGGGAAAGUGGACAGUAGGGUGCGCUCAAGUGUCCUUUGCAAGGGACAGUAAGAAUUUCCAAAUGUUCUUCGACCAGUUUUUGAGAUAUGGACAAUUUCAUCCAAGAAAGAACCGAACUUCCCAUGACUUCAAUGCUUGACAACCCAGACUAUGGGAACCUUGACUGCCGAGGAGUACUGAGGAGUACUCUACAACCUCCAGACCCUUCCCCCUACCCCUCCUCCUAACAGAAACAACUC